rnacentral:lncRNA from 1 species
CUAGUUUAAGUUGUAAAAAAAGGGGCUAAGGUUCACCAAUGUUCCCAACUGAAAAGUUUUAUUAAAACACAUGUUUUAGACAUUUUCGAAAUGUUUUGAAAAAACAUUAAGUAAACUUAGUCCACUAAUGCGAAGUCACCGAAAAUUUUUUCCUUACCGAUUAGUUUAAAAAACUUUUAUUACAAAAGUCAUCAAUGCAGAUUCUUCUCUGACUUUGUAUUAAGUUCAGCCAAAUUUUGUUAUGUGAGAUCAUCCUUUAGGUUAUUUCAGCUUGUGAACCGCCAUACACUACAGCUUUCUGCCUCCACUAAACACUGCCAUGGAGGUGGGAAUGGAGGCCUUGGAGGGAAAGCAGAAGGCGUGGAUUUGGCUUCUGGUCUGAUUUUGCUUCAAGAUUCAGAGAUGUAUAGGUUUAUCACGCUCUUGCUAAACUGAAUGACUUCAACCCUUGGUGUCCCGUUUCCUUGUUUUUUCAUGUUCCUUGAAGUCUUGCCUUGCUGUCUUCACCCCUGAAGAAGCAGUCACUUCCUCCAUCAAGCGACUGGCUUCAGGAGAGAAACACACACCUUGGGUCGCCCUGAGAGGGACUGAGGCGUUCUCAGACCGUUUCUGUGGCCACGUGUGCUCCACACUUCUUGUUCCUUCUUGGGAGGGAAUUCUUAAGGUUGUCUGCCUUCUCUGGAUGCUGCAGAGCCAGGCCGUGUGCUGGAAUUUCGCGGGUGUCUGGGAUUCCCACAAAGGUGCUCUUAUCCGCGGAUGAUGUUCAACAUCAGUGUUCGUUGGGGUUCAAGAUGAGUCAAGGCUCAAGCAGGCUUGAAGUCCUCCAACAGACAAGCCCUAAUGGACAAGGACAAGGAAACCACUACCCUAACUUCUGACUUCACAAACUAUUUUUGCCUGAUUUUCAACUUAGCCGCAGCUCCCUUCCCACACGUGGAGUGUGCACCACACAGAGAAGUUCC